CUCCUACGGGAGGCAGCAGUGGGGAAUUUUGGACAAUGGGCGAAAGCCUGAUCCAGCAAUGCCGCGUGUGAAGAAGGCCUUCGGGUUGUAAAGCACUUUUGUCCGGAAAGAAAUGGCUCUGGUUAAUACCUGGGGUCGAUGACGGUACCGGAAGAAUAAGGACCGGCUAACUACGUGCCAGCAGCCGCGGUAAUACGUAGGGUCCAAGCGUUAAUUGGAAUUACUGGGCGUAAAGCGUGCGCAGGCGGUUGUGCAAGACCGAUGUGAAAUCCCCGAGCUUAACUUGGGAAUUGCAUUGGUGACUGCACGGCUAGAGUGUGUCAGAGGGGGGUAGAAUUCCACGUGUAGCAGUGAAAUGCGUAGAGAUGUGGAGGAAUACCGAUGGCGAAGGCAGCCCCCUGGGAUAACACUGACGCUCAUGCACGUAAGCGUGGGGAGCAAACAGGAUUAGAUACCCUGGUAGUCCACGCCCUAAACGAUGUCAACUAGUUGUUGGGGAUUCAUUUCCUUAGUAACGUAGCUAACGCGUGAAGUUGACCGCCUGGGGAGUACGGUCGCAAGAUUAAAACUCAAAGGAAUUGACGG
rnacentral:rRNA from 1 species